GGGGUCGUUACGGAUUCGACAGGCAUUAUGAGACCUAUUUUGCGACUCAUCUAGCGGAUGUAAAACGCCAGUUAAAUAUAACUGCAAAAAAUACAAAUUCUUACGCAGUAGCUGCCUAAAAACCAGCCUGUGUGAUCAAUAACAAAUUGCUUGUGUUUGUUGAUUGGUCUUAUUGUUAACAAGCUACGUUAGAACUGAGUCAGGCUGUUCUAAAAGAGUUCUACUGACUCGCAUCGUUAGAGUUUGAGUUAUGUAUUGUAACGGUGUUAAAUAAACACAUAACCUAUAGUUGUAGACAAAUGGGUUAGCAGAUGUUUGGACGUGGGUUCGACUCCCACCGGCUCCAUUA
rnacentral:tmRNA from 17 species